GGCCUUGGAGAGGGGGUCCCACAGAGGUAUAGGGGAAGAAGGGCAUAACAGAGAGAGGGGAGCAUAAUAGAAAGAAGAGCGAAUAGAGAGGAGAUCCAUCAGUUUGCAUCCUCUUAGAGGAGCAUGGAAUCUUCGAACCUAGCCCACGUCUAGAACUACCACCACAAAACACAUUGGAACCUUGUUCUACUUCUAUCGCAAGCCUCAGUCUAUCUAUGAAUGAUCUACAUCUGCCGAUAGAUAUCAGCAGUACAUCACUUGAAUCUUUAGACAACCGUUACAGUUCAGGCUCCUCAUGUAUUAAUAUCAAAGAUGGCUCAAAUUUGAUUUCCAUGAAGACUAGUAACGAAUCUCACAUAUGUCAUGGUAUGCGGAUAAACCUUUGACGAAUUUGAAGUUUUUAUCUGAACUUGAUACACAUCCAUGGAAGUUGCAAGUGCCAGAUGUUCGAAGAUGCAGAAAAAGACUUGAAGGGUGAUGAUCAAUUUUGGCAUUGGCUAUCAUCUAAGAAUUUUAUUGAACCACCGAUUAGGUUUUUGAAGGAUGCUUAUGGACAUCAUGAUGUAAAGGCUCAGAGAGUGGGAUCUCAGUUGUUAUUGGCACUUGUCAACAAAAGUGAAGUGGUGGGUCAUACUUGGGAGCAGACGCAUUCUGUCGGAUGACACCCCUUCCAAAUUCAAAAAUCAACAUUAUUGUCAGAAGGAGUUUCAAUGGAAAGUGACUUCUGUGCUCUCUUUCUCCUUCAAGUUUGUGGACUUGGGGUUCUCUUUUCACAAGGCAGUAGGAUGUAGAUAAUCUGGGUGGCUUUUUGCAAUAUGGAAAGUUGAGGUGUUGAUGGUUUGAUGAGUCAGAAGAACUAAUGCAUGGGAAUUUGCUUCUGAAUUGAUUGGUUGCCUUUACUCUUCCUCGACAUGGUGUGGACAAUGUAAGAAGCUAGAUCUUGCAGGAAAAGACUUCUAAUAACUUGAAGAGGACAGGUGACGGUUAUGCAGAAAAUGGCUCUUGCCUUAGUUAAUUGGGUGCAUGGCAAUAUUAAGGUCAUCUGAGAUGGUUUCUGUGAUUUGUUUAGAAACUAGCUAAUGUGUGUACGGAGAUGAGCCUGCCACCUGGUACCCUCAAUGUUCUGACUCGAUUGGUCUCCUAACCUGGUGUUCUCUUGGCGCCACGUCCUUGUGAUGACAAGAUUAUGUUUGGUAGAAGCACCCUGCCUCUAUUGCUUGUACAUCCAAUCAAGCCGCUGCUAUAUGCAAUGAGAAGGUGAAGAAUGGUCCAUCUUUAGAGGGCUUUAGUAGUAUCCUAGUAAUCCUGAAUCAUGGCACAAUCAUUCAAAGUUGCACAUCCAUCUGGGUUUCCAUUUAUAGUUAAAUCUGCAAUCAUGACAACAACAACCAUUUAAGAUAAGAACUACUAUGGCAGUGUUGUGCUCAGUGGUGGAUCAAUCAUGUUCCCUGGUAUUGCGGACGGAAUGAAUGCAGACUCACCUCUAAAUGAGCUUAUUCCCAUGUCGUGGCUAACGAUGAUGUUUUGAAUCGUCCUAAGGAAUAAGCGACCCAAAUUUCGUUGAUCAUGAGUCAACCAUAUUGAAAGAUGAUUGGAAUACUUUGAGGAAAAGAAGACAUACCCAGGUCACGGAACAAACUGCCGAUAAACAGCUCAGGCGAAAGGUGACAUGUGUAAUGCUUCUUCGUGCUGUCGUGCACUCAGUAAUGUCAUUUCGGCACGAUUUCUGAAAGUUCUAUGGAUUUAGAAUUAGAAGAUGGAGAAGCCAUCCUUCGGCCACUCAGAUGUAGCCGAAGCCCUGACAAAAAUCAAUAGUACAUCACACCGACAACAAAUGGAGCUACUAAAAACUGUUGUGAUGAACCAUACGGUGUUCCUUUGCUGCAGGAUACUCUUACACGGCAUUGUUUAUGAAGUCAACGCCUAAUACAUGUUAAAUCUCAGGCCCAAAUGUCAGUAGAAAGUCACCUUGACAUAGGGUUCAAAAUCUCGGUCGAUACCGGUACGACUUGGCCGAGACAUAUUUGCCUCGACCAUGGCCGGUAUCGGACCCAUACCCGAGUUGGAUAUUUUGUUAGCUUGUGAACAAACUCAGUGGAGUAGAAAUGGUGGAGAAGAUGAGAGGAUCAAAACCCAUGAAAAUGAAAAAUACAGAUUAUAGAGAGUUAGAACCCUCCAUCUUAGAGCUAGCGAGGUCGAAGAAGCACGCAUGCUUGUUCAGAUCACUCAAGUUCCUGCCGGAGAUGGAACUGAGCGACAUGAAGAGGAGGCAGAGUCGCCGGACUCCUGCACCGCUGUUAUCGACGAAGAACAACGGUGAGGUGGCUGAUGGAAGUGGGAGAAGAGAGAAAGUUGGCCUAUGGAGGAGCUGCCUAAGAUUUGUGGGUUUAGAGGAGAAAGAGAUGGGUGUUUGACCGGCAAUUGAGGGUUAUGGGUAUAGAUGAGGAUUUGAAUUUUAAAUAGUAUAUAUUUGUUUUUUUUAAGUACAUAAUGAGUAUUUGGUGG